CAUCUCUUUCACCAGGCUUGAUGUAGAAACUGCAAGUUCAAUGAGUAAAAUUGGUUCCGAUCUCGGGUAUUCUUGAACGGAAAAGGUGACAUGACCUCUCCGGUUCCCAAAUAGGGUUCCGGUGACUUUCCGUCCGAGCGAGGGUGUUAUCGACAAUUGGGUUGAAAUAUGAAGCAAUCUGCAACUAAGAAGAAUCGUGGGGAAUGAGCUAAUAUGAAGGAGUGAUCGAAGAAGUCCCGAGAAUCCAGUGCGGGCUCUGUGGCAGGUGNCGGUGACUUUCUGUCCGAGCGAGGGUGUUAUCAACAAUUGGGUUGAAAUAUUAAGCAAUCUGCAAGUGGGAAGAAUCGUGGGGAAUGAGCUAAUAUGAAGGAGUGAUCGAAGAAGUCCCGAGAAUCCAGUGCGGACUCUGUGGCAGGCGGCGAUUAUGUAAUUUGCUGGGAUGAUAAUGUUGUUAUUUUUGCAGCUACUGGUCCUAGGAAGAGUCUCAACUGCUUGUUUAUGUCUCAUGAUGUUCGUCUUAAACUGAAUAUAGUCGAAAAGCAAUAGAAUUUGUUGAUCAAGAUUUACGUAUGUGUGAAAUUGUUCUCUGAGUUAUCCCUGUAUGAGAGAGAGAGAAAGAGAGAGAUUAUUGGAAUUAAUAUUAUCGAGAGAAGAUGCUGGUUUCAACACAUAAUGAGAGAAAAAGUUCUAUCAUUUUAUUUGUGCAAGAGAGAGAGAGUGAGAUUCUUGGAAUUAACAUGAUCGAGGGAAGAUGCUGGUUUCAACACAUAAUGAGAGAACAAGUUCUAUCGUUUUAUUUGUGUGUGAGUGUGUGUGUGUG
rnacentral:lncRNA from 1 species